rnacentral:rRNA from 1 species
GAUGAACGCUGGCGGCGUGCCUAAUACAUGCAAGUCGAGCGAACGGACGAGAAGCUUGCUUCUCUGAUGUUAGCGGCGGACGGGUGAGUAACACGUGGAUAACCUACCUAUAAGACUUGGAUAACUUCGGAAAACCGGAGCUAAUACCGGAUAAUAUUUUGAACCGCAUGGUUCAAAAGUGAAAGACGGUCUUGCUGUCACUUAUAGAUGGAUCCGCGCUGCAUUAGCUAGUUGGUAAGGUAACGGCUUACCAAGGCAACGAUGCAUAGCCGACCUGAGAGGGUGAUAGGCCACACUAGAACUGAGACACGGUCCAGACUCCUACGGGAGGCAGCAGUAAGGAAUCUUCCGAAAUGGGCGAAAGCCUGACGGAGCAACGCCGCGUGAGUGAUGAAGGUCUUCGAAUCGUAAAACUCUGUUAUUAGGGAAGAACAUAUGUGUAAGUAACUGUGCACAUCUUGACGGUACCUAAUCAGAAAGCCACGGCUAACUACGUG